rnacentral:ncRNA from 1 species
ACAAGGAUGGAGGAGGCUCUGGGGCCUAACAACUGGCAUUCGGUUAAGGCAUUACCACCUACUUUGUGGCAUCUAACCACUGCUUUUU